rnacentral:snRNA from 1 species
AUACUUACCUGGACAGGGUCAAUAGGCGAUCAAUAAGGUCUAUGCCCUAGAUUGAUGACUUUCAUUGCACUUAGAAAGGGUGUCAAUCUAAGGUCUACCUUAAUGGUGGAGCCUAGGUCAUAAUUUGUAGCAGACGGGGCCUGCGUUCGCGUGGCCCUUAU